CAAUAUGCAGAAUCUAGUGUUUAUUUGCUUAAAUUUCGGCAACUCCAGUCUCGAGCCCUGGGUAUGAUUCGUUCUCAUGUACUUUCUGUUCUGAAAGGUGCUUCUUCUCAGGUCCAGGCAGCAAUCCGGAGCACUGGUGGCAACAAGACAUCCGUUUCUGAGGGUGUAGAGGCAUCUGUUAUCUAUGUCCGAUUCAAGGCAGCUGCAAAUGAGCUGAAGCCCAUAUUGGAGGAAAUUGAAGGCAG
rnacentral:misc_RNA from 1 species